ACAACGGCUCUUUUAGGAGCCACCCAGAUGAUACAAACGUCAUAG
rfam:Nematostella vectensis strain CH2 x CH6 NEMVEscaffold_616_Cont30916, whole genome shotgun sequence.